rnacentral:tRNA from 1 species
GGUUGUUUAGCUCAGUUGGUAGAGCAGGAAGUUUACACCUUUCAGGUCAUGGGUUCGAGUCCCUUAGCAACCAC